rnacentral:rRNA from 1 species
UACAGAGGGUGCAAGCGUUGUUCGGAAUUACUGGGCGUAAAGCGUGCGUAGUCGGUAUUGAGAGUCGCGGGUGAAAUCCCAGGGCUUAACCCUGGAACUGCCUGCGAGACCUGAGUACUAGAGUGUGAGAGGGGAUAGUGGAAUGCCAAGUGUAGCGGUGAAAUGCGUAGAGAUUUGGCGGAACACCGGUGGCGAAGGCGGCUAUCUGGCUCACAACUGACGAUCAGGCACGAAAGCGUGGGGAGCAAACAGG